AUUUAUAUAAUAUAAAAAUUAUAUUUGACUUCCAAUCAAACAAUCUAAAAAAAUUAGUAUAAAUA
rnacentral:tRNA from 1 species